AACAUAUUUUGCGAACCUGACAUCUCAUAAAUAAGUACGCAAUAUAGUUAACACAAUGUACACAAUAGUACACAUUAUAACAAAUAUUCUCAGUACGGACACCAUAUGAACUAGGCACGAAACUUAACAGAGAGAUGAGAUACCAGAGAAUCGAAGAUAAAUAAUAUAUCAAAGAGAAAAUCAACAUUAUUAAUGGUAUCAAACUCCUGCAUUUGUGGCACUGAUGGUUGAUAUGGUCAAAUAGUGAAUUACAUUUUCAACACCAUCAUUCUUGUUGGAAAUGUUAUCAGAAAAGCAAUUUGCAAAAGUCCUCAUAGAUCCUGAACUAUUUAUCAAAAAUCCUAAUAAAGGUGACCCUUAAUGUGGUGAAAGGUUAUUCCAAAAACAAAUACAUAUUGCAAUUCAGAAAUACCCAAGAACUGAGAUUAACAAGUAGAGACUAAUUGACUAACUAACUAACUAACUAAUUGAUCACAGAAUUUAUCAGUUACUAAGUAACUAAUUUUUGAGUUUAAAUAAGAAGAUGUUUGUCUUCAUCCUUGAUCCUGAAGUUUGUAAAGGAUGACCCAAUCCUUAAGAUGAAAUAAGAUAAUUAAUUCAUAAAUAAACAUUGCAUUUUCCAAAUUUAUUUUGUGAUGAUUCAUUCAAUGUAUAAUACAGUUCUUAAUGUGUUUUUUUUAUCACGUCAUGAAAGUUGAUAAAGCAGAUAACAGCAAAUAGGGCAUAGAUAGUUUGUGUAUUAUAUGGCUAAGCUAUAAAUGUGACACAUAAAAAAUUUGAAUAAUAUUCUUAUUAUGAUUCAGACAUCCUACUUUUAAACUUGAUUUAAUGAUAGUGCUCCUUUUUAUUGCAAUCUAUAAAUCAAUUUUAAGAUUAGCACACUUGCACUGACAACAAUUUUAAGCUAAGAGCAAGUUUGUAGAUGAUUCACCAUAAUUAUGCUGCCAGAGUAUUUUUAUUUUUACAUACAGAGUGUGAUUUUUUGAACCGAGUCUAAUACAAGCUUGGAGUACCAAGUACUCAGAUAGCUGAUGGUGACUGAAAAUAUAGCGGGAAAACGUCCCAGAUUACCCAGUCCUACCAGAUGAUCAGAUCAAAUUCGAUCUUGCCUGAACAUCAAGUUCCACUAAGCCCUCCAUUGAAGUCAAGGAUCCCAGCAGAUGGAAGAAAAUUGUAAAGGAGAGAAAGAUGCAGCAAGAGAGUUGCAACUCUCAGUAGUGAGAAAAGCGACACAAGGGGGGAAUACAAGCCUAUCCUAAUCUAGCAUGAUGAGGCUUGUACAUUUGUUGUUUGCCAAUUGCAACAGGUUGUAUUCAGUUGUAACUAAAUUUGAAUUACUAGGUUGCCUUAAUAAAAUUACUUACAUUUCCUCCA